ACGACCUUACUUGAACAGGAUCUGUUCUGAAGGUUGUACAACUUGGUCUGCGUAUCAAACUCAGACAAGCACACAAAUCUGGAAGAUGAAGUAAGGCUCUAAGGCCAGAGCGCGAAUGCUGAGGCUGUUGUGUUCGCAAUUGGUCUCCCGAUGAACGUCCUGCCUGCUGCUUUCUAGCAAGCAGUGACGGCCUUCGAGCGUUCUGACAGAUU